GGGUCGGUGGUCUAGCUUGGCUUAGGAUCCGCGCCUGGGGUCUUAUAAGCCAGAGCGCGCGAGAAGGUUUAAACUCGCAAAUCCGUGGGUUCAAAUCCCACCCGACCCA
rnacentral:tRNA from 1 species